rnacentral:rRNA from 1 species
UACGAAAGGGGCUAGCGUUGCUCGGAAUCACUGGGCGUAAAGGGUGCGUAGGCGGGUCUUUAAGUCAGGGGUGAAAUCCUGGAGCUCAACUCCAGAACUGCCUUUGAUACUGGCGAUCUUGAGUCCGGGAGAGGUGAGUGGAACUGCGAGUGUAGAGGUGAAAUUCGUAGAUAUUCGCAAGAACACCAGUGGCGAAGGCGGCUCACUGGCCCGGUACUGACGCUGAGGUGCGAAAGCUAGGGGAGCGAACGGG